GUCCCGCUAGAUGCCAUUCUGUUCUACACACUUCACCUUUAAUAAUAUGGAAGCGAGGCUUAUGGGCUCUGUUUGGCGUGUAGUUCCUAUUUUUCAUGGAAGUUAAUGUCCAGUGUUAACACUGUAUAUUUAUGGUAAAAACCUGUGUCAAUACAUGGAGUUAGACCGGCAGGCCAACACAACAUAGUACUUCCUGGUUCACUAGACACGUCCAGCCCACACUCUUCCUGGCUUAUUACAAAUGCUUUACGAACUUGGAUCAUUAUCAGGGUACCAAUUAAACUCAUAAUCACAGCUCUAAACAUUUAAUGAUGUAACCCGUCAGCAAUUCAGAGACAAAAUGGGGAGGUAUUUAGGGAGGUAGAUAGUAUGAGAUAUCUGGGUGUGCCGUUACUAAGGACCUACCAAGACUAGCCUCUAGAGACUAGUGGCGCAUUUCCACCGGAGGGUGCGGGUCGGUUCAGUCUGCAAAAGUGGUCGUGAUCCGGACUGAGCCGUAUUGAGCCGCACUCGACUCGCAGCACUCCUACGUUGGGGUACCGAGACCUCUGGAAGUGUGCCGGUGUGGGUACACACGCCGUCCAAUGAUUGGUCGACAGAAUUGCACUUCCGUGGGACAGGGGGAUAAUAACAAACACACACAUUACCCGCAAGGUAUUUCUGGACAACGGCGAAAGCUUAGGUUAUUGAAGAAAAUGUCACGCAAAAGUUUGCUGUCCUUCUUGGAAGUCCUACAUUGUUGCUCUUUGUUCAUUGUGUGCGUUCUUCUUUUUCCUUGGAUUUAUCAGCAGGCUACAGUUUGUGGGGCUGCUAUGAGGUCAGAUGUUUACGUAGCUCGCGGCUAUCGCCAUACGGCUUGAACCCCACCCUACAAUAAGGGUACUGUCGGUGGUGGAAACGCGAGCCGUAACUGAGCUGGGCUAUACCACACCCUCACCACUUGGCUGAGGGCGGCGUGCUGGAUUUGAAGUGUACCCGCCGGUGGAAAAGCACCAUAAAACCACUAGAUGAGACCGGAUCCGGUGGGGUUGGCCCUUCCUUGGAUUCA
ensembl:lncRNA